AAACGAUGGCAACACAGGCUACAUCCAAGACAUCGGUCCAUUCCGCUGCUCCACUGCUGCUAAGUCGUUGCAUUUCCGGUGUGACCUGAUGGUCAUCGGUCCCUCGUACUGAACAGGGCUUGAUGACACUCACUUCCGACCUGCGAGCAUGUUCAUCGAAUAAAAAACGGCAACGUUUAUGGAAGCAAUUCCAAAGACGCCAACGCUUCCAUAGACUUGAACGAUCCCAAAGACCCCAACGCUUCCAUAGACUUCAACAAUUCCAAAGACGUAAACGCUUCCAUAGACUUCAACAAUUCCAAAGACGUCGAGGAGAUCCUGCCUUCAAUAUAUUAGAAACGUAACCGCCUUUAUAAACUCAAGAUGCACUGAUGUAUCCAUCGCAAACAGACACACCAUCGGAACUGUGCGAUCACAUGUCAUGUGAUAAACCAUCGGAACUGUUAGAUCCAUGUCAUGUAAUGUACCAUCGAAACUGUGCGAUCACGUGUCAUGUGAUGUACCAUCAGAAAUGUGCGAUCCAUGUCAUGUGAUGUACCAUCGUAACUGUGCGAUCACGUGUCAUGUGAUGUACCAUCGGAACUGUGCGAUCCAUGUCAUGUGAUGUACCAUCGUAACUGUACGAUCACGUGUCAUGUGAUGUACCAUCGGAACUGUGCGAUCAGUGUCAUGUGAUGUACCAUUGGAACUGUGAGAUCCCAUGUCAUGUGAUGUACCAUCGGAACUGUGCGAUCCAUGUCAUGUGAUGUACCAUCGGAGCUGUGAGAUCCCAUGUCAUGUGAUGUACCAUCGGAACUGUACAAUCAAUGUCAUGUGAUGUACCAUCGGAACUGUGCGAUCACGUGUCAUGUGAUAUACCAUCGAACCUGUGAGAUCCCCUGUCAGGUGUUGUACCAUCGGAACUGUGCGAUCAGGUGUCAUGUGACGUACCAUCGGAACUGUGAGAUCCAUGUUAUAUGAUGUACCAUCGGAACUGAUAUCCCAUGUCAUGUG